CCACUUUCCAAACCUAAUGCUCGCUGAAAUAAGUUUUUUUUUCAGUUGUUGAAAAUAUUACAGGAAUUCAGGAAUUAAGAUCUCAAUCCAUGAAUGUCCUAUUUAGACUCCCAUGCUAAUUGUAAGUUCUUUUACAUGACAAAGUGGGUCAACAUCUGGGCUUAAUGGAAGAGUUGUGUUUAAUAAGACCCUAGUUUCAGAAUUUCACUUUGCAGCUAAGAUUUUGGCUGAAAGAUAAGCAAGGCUGGGAAGUGAUUUCCCUUUUUCAUGCUGCUGGAGAGAAGUAAUCAAAGCUUCUUCCAUACUGCUCCCAGGGAAGAGGAGGCAGAUCUAAAAGGGGAACCAGGGGCCAUUGUCCCUUUCCUUCUUAAACAUCUGCUCCCAUGUCAGUGCAGACCUUUCUCCUGCCCCUACCAUCCUUCCAGAAGAGAAGGACAGAGAUACUUUCCUCAUGCAAAGGAUAUGGUAGGAGGUGAUAUCUUUGAGGUUCUCAUUGGUCAUGGUUAACGUUGCCAGCUGGGCAGAUCCUAGAGUCACCUAGGAGACAAACCUCUGAAUGUGUCUGUGUGAGGGAUUAUCUAGACUAAUUAACUGAGGUUGGAAGACACUUUUGAUCAUGUGUGGCAGCAUCCCACAGGCUGGGGUCCUGGGCUGAAGCAAGAGGAGAAGGUGAGCUGAGCACCAGCAUUCAUCUCUCUCUGCUUCCUGACUGUGGAUGCCGUGUGGCCAGCUGCUUCCUGACUGCAGAUGCACAGCAAACAGCUGCCUGCAGCUCCAGCCGUCCUGCCUUCCUGGUGUUGAGGGGCUGCACACUGGACAGGGAACAAAAUAAACCCGUUCUUCCUUACGUUGCUUUAGCCAGAUGUUUCAUACGUCAAUGAGACAAGUAGCUAACCCGGGGCAGAAGCAUCGUUUACAGCAUCUGAGCAAGGUCCCGAUGAGCGCUUCUUCCCUCGGCUACACACUGGAGGAGCAAGAGACUCAGUACUCUCUGGGAAGGUUAACUGGACUUGCAAAACACAGUGUUUGUUCAAUCAACACAGAUGCAUGAGGCUUUGUUCUAGAAUGUGGGGACUCAAUGUUGGGUAGCAUCCACACGGUGAAGGCACUUCCUUGAGCUUCUUCGUAAGGUGGAGCUGGAGUGCUAAGACUCAGACUGCUGGAUUCCUGCCCCACGCCCAGAGCUAGACAAAACAGCCUCAGCAGACAGUUGCCUCUCCAGUUUUAAAGUUCAGCAGGGAAGGAGACAGAAGUUGAAGCUCCUUGGCAAGUGCCUUCAUAUAACAGGAAACAUCCCUGUUUUACGUGAAGCUUAAAACUCUUCGGAUGAAGAGAGUCAGACCUCGGAUUUAUGACACAAGCUGCCUUCCUCAUAGAAACAGCACUUGCCAGGGUGAUAUGUCCCUGGCUGAGGUUCUGAGACAUCACAUUUUAUAGACACCAUUAACCACAGUGUAUUGAUCUGCUGACUCACUAACCAGUCCCACCCCAUCACUGGUGAGUGCAGAAUUUCUAAAGUAUAUGCCCGGCAGAUGAGGGUCAUUUUGAAAGCACAACAUUUUCCUAAUUGACAGCAAACAUCCAGUUUCAAAAUAAUUGACAGUGACGUAAGA